GAUGAACGCUGGCGGCGUGCUUAACACAUGCAAGUCGAACGAUGAACCGGGUGCUUGCACUCGGGGAUUAGUGGCGAACGGGUGAGUAACACGUGAGCAACCUGCCCCUGACUCUGGGAUAAGCGCUGGAAACGGCGUCUAAUACUGGAUAUGUCCCGUCACCGCAUGGUGUGCGGGUGGAAAGAUUUUUCGGUUGGGGAUGGGCUCGCGGCCUAUCAGCUUGUUGGUGAGGUAAGGGCUCACCAAGGCGUCGACGGGUAGCCGGCCUGAGAGGGUGACCGGCCACACUGGGACUGAGACACGGCCCAGACUCCUACGGGAGGAAGAAGUGGGGAAUAUUGCACAAUGGGCGGAAGCCUGAUGAAGCAACGCCGCGUGAGGGAUGACGGCCUUCGGGUUGUAAACCUCUUUUAGUAGGGAAGAAGCGAAAGUGACGGUACCUGCAGAAAAAGCACCGGCUAACUACGUGCCAGCCGCCGCCGUAA
rnacentral:rRNA from 1 species